UAAUACGGAGGGUGCAAGCGUUAAUCGGAAUUACUGGGCGUAAAGCGCACGCAGGCGGUUUGUUAAGUCAGAUGUGAAAUCCCCGGGCUCAACCUGGGAACUGCAUUUGAAACUGGCAAGCUAGAGUCUCGUAGAGGGGGGUAGAAUUCCAGGUGUAGCGGUGAAAUGCGUAGAGAUCUGGAGGAAUACCGGUGGCGAAGGCGGCCCCCUGGACGAAGACUGACGCUCAGGUGCGAAAGCGUGGGGAGCAAACAGGAUUAGAUACCCUGGUAGUCCACGCUGUAAACGAUGUCGAUUUGGAGGUUGUGCCCUUGAGGCGUGGCUUCCGGAGCUAACGCGUUAAAUCGACCGCCUGGGGAGUACGGCGCAAGGU
rnacentral:rRNA from 1 species